AGCGAACGCUGGCGGCAGGCCUAACACAUGCAAGUCGAACGAACUCUUCGGAGUUAGUGGCGGACGGGUUAGUAACACGUGGGAACGUGCCUUUUGGUUCGGAAUAACUCAGGGAAACUUGUGCUAAUACCGAAUGUGCCCUACGGGGGAAAGAUUUAUCGCCAUUAGAGCGGCCCGCGUCUGAUUAGCUAGUUGGUGAGGUAACGGCUCACAAAGGCGACGAUCAGUAGCUGGUCUGAGAGGAUGACCAGCCACACUGGGACUGAGACACGGCCCAGACUCCUACGGGAAGCAGCAGUGGGGAAUCUUGCGCAAUGGGCGAAAGCCUGACGCAGCCAUGCCGCGUGAAUGAUGAAGGUCUUAGGAUUGUAAAAUUCUUUCACCGGGGACGAUAAUGACGGUACCCGGAGAAGAAGCCCCGGCUAACUUCGUG
rnacentral:rRNA from 1 species